rnacentral:lncRNA from 1 species
CUGGGAUUCGAGGGGGCGGGGAUAGAACGCAGAGGGUUGGAAGGGGGCGGGGACAAAACCAGGGACUUGCCUACCCGGCGAAGGCACACGCGAGGCAGAAAUCGGGGUUCCUGGAUGUUGGAUAAUUGGGAGCGGCCAGGAGCUCCGGAGGCCCGACGACCAAGUCGUGGACUCGUCGCACUGGGAUUGGACAUAUGCAAGUGGGAGACUUGGGUCUGGCGCUCUGAAUCGGGGGUGGGGGGUGGGCUCGGGCUUGGGUUCCAGGAUCGGCUCGGCGGACGUCUGACUCAGCGUGGUAAGUAUCGCACCGGAGGGACCCGAGCUCCCGCGGGGCCGGGAGGCCUGUGUCUUGGGUUGGGCGUGCGGGCUUCUCCAUCACUUGUCCUCGAAGCUCGCAUCGGCUCACAGUCUCAGCAUCCCUGGCUGUGAGGCAUGCGCAGUAGGGUGCUCCCUCCCCCACCUCUUCCAGCCCCCGGAGGGGGGAGGGGACGCUGGGCCACCCCCCCCCCGCCACUCCCCACCCGUCCCAUCCCCCCCCUCCCCCGCCUUGGCAUGGGAAGCGGAAACGAGGCGGACGGUGCCAACGUCCGGCAGGUGUUCAUUUCAAUGGGUCUCGGACUAAUGUUUUUCUCCAUACCCCGCAACCCGACCCUGGGCUGGUUUCGCGCCCCCAACCCCGAAUCUCGAAAGUCUUUCUUGGGGAGGGGCGCACGGCCUUGCACUUCCUUCUCAGCAGAGUCGCAAAAGGGAUUCACGCGAGUUAUCCCUCCUGCCUCUCUAUGCGUUCACAGAGGCCCCCAACUGACAUCCCCCCAACACCCGAGUCUCUGACAAAGUCCUUCGAGACCCCUCAGGUGGUUAGGGAAGGGUGAGCCUUUGGCCUAUAUUCCUGGGUCUGCAGGAGGAGGGGGUUGGGAGCCCGGAUUCCUGGGUCUGAGGCUGGGGGCCUGGAAAAUGACCCUCUGUCCCAACUCCCAGGGCUCUAGCGUGACAUGGCUGAAGCGCACCAGGCCGUGGGCUUCCGACCCUCGCUGACCUCGGACGGGGCCGAAGUGGAGCUCAGUGCCCCCGUGUUGCAGGAGAUCUACCUCUCCGGAUUGCGCUCUUGGAAAAGGCACCUCGCCCGUUUCUGGGUGAGGAGGGCCACGCUUGGUUUCCUUCCAAGACUCCGGUUACGUGUUUCUGGGAUGCCCGAGGCCCACUUCUGGGAUCCUAUCCUUCCCCACCCCCACCCCCCCUUCUGGGGGUUUGGAUGUGGACUUUCAGGACCCCCUUAAAGCCAUUUCUGGGUUUUCUGAGGCUCACUUCCUCCCUUACUGGGAACCUCUAUUCACCUCUUCCAACCACUUCCUGGACCACUUCCCUCUGUCCUCAGACUCGCAAACCCAACUUCCACCCAAUUUCUAGAAUUCAGACCCCUCCCCCCCACCCCAGGUGCUCCCCUCACCUUUCCAUUUUGUCUUCAGGUGCUAAACUCGGUGCUCUUCAUUUCAGAACGCUGUGACCCCGGGGAAGAUCUUGGUUAGCCCGCACCCCAAUCCUCCUCCUAGCCCGAGCCCCUGGGUCUGAGGCUGCCUCCUCAAGCCUGCCGCUGAACCCCCAAUUCCCCUCUCCAUAGCCGUGCGCCCUCCCUGUGGUUCCCAGACGUGAACCUCCAAAUGUCCGUAUGCACUUCACCACUGCCCUUGUUCUAGAAUGCCCAUGCCCGACGUCUAACCAGAACCCAUGCCUGCCCCAGGGUCACUAUUUCUAGAAGUCCGGCACUGGGUACAUAUAGUGUCUCCCUCGUGGUCACGCCCUGUCUGAACGCAAGUCUCCAACACCUGCAGGGUUGGCCGAGACUGAUUCUGAAUCCCGGCCCUGCCGCUUGCUAGCUGUGUGGCCUUGGGCAAGUACUCCUCUCUGAGCCUCAGUUUCCCCACACGUAAAACAGGGGUGAUGAUAACAGCUCCCCUGACGGGACAGUCGAAGGGAUUAAAUGAAUUGUUACAUGUAAGCACUGAGCGAACUGCCUGGGCCCUGGCAAGUGCCAAGUAAGUGUUAGCUUUUGAUAAGAUUGUUCUUUAUUCAUUAACCAGGUGUCUGGCUGCCUCAGUCGGUGGAGCGUGUGACUCCUGAUCUCGGGGUUGUGAGUUCGAGCCCCACUUCUACACCCAACAUGGGUAGCCCCCGCCCCCCCCAACAAAGAGCUUCUUCAGCCCCGCCCCUGGAGCUUCCUGGGCCUCAGGCUAAUUCAUCAAUUAGAACAUUAUCAUGUGGACAUUAACCUGGGGUUAAAUACAUAAACACACAUCUACACAUAUACAUAUAUUUUUACUUUAUUUUUUUAAUGUUUAUUUAUUUUUGAGAGAGCACGAGUAGGGGAGGAGCAGAGAGAGAGAGAGAGAGGGAGACACAGCAUCCGAAGCAGGCUCCGGGCUCUGAGCUGUCGGCACAGAGCCCGACAUGGGGCUCGAACCACGAACUGUGAGAUCGCGACCUGAGCCGAAGUCAGACUCUCAACUGACUGAGCCACACGUAUAUUUUUAAAAUUAAGAUAUCGUUUCAUUCAGAAAAAAAUGCACAGGUUCUUAAAAGGUACAGUCCUUGAAUUUUGACAAUACCUGUGCGCCCAACUUCCUAGCAAGACGGAAUUGCCGCCAUUCUAGAAUGUUCCUUUGAGCCCUUUUCCAGUUAGCGCCCCCCCCCCCCGACUCAAAGCAACCGCUGCUCUGGUUUCUAUACUUAUAAGUGGAUUUUGACUAGUGCUGCAUUGUUGAAAAUUUUGGCCAUCACCACCCCUACUUUUGAGUCAAAACCUAAAGCCCUUCUCAGAGUCAGUCCCCUAUGCCUGGUGGGCCCCACCAGACCCUGUCAUUAGUAUUAACUGAUCAUUGUAAUAGUGAUCGUUCUUCCCUUUCUGUCACAUAGCUGCCUCUCUCCCUGUGGGACAUUGGAUGCUCUUCUGUCCUUAGGAGCCACCCUGAAGUCGUAGCUCCUGGAACUUGGUUUCAGGGUGAGGGCUGUGCCCUCAGCAACCGCAGGGCUGAAAUCGCAUAGACGUCCUGCUAAGCCAUAACUUGGUCACUUAUAAAAUGGCGUCCCUGACAGUCCCGGCCUCGAGGGAUUGUUGUAAGCAUGCGCUGUCUUAGCAGAAGGUCUGAUGCAGAGAAGUGACCGCUCCAACAUCGCCAUUCCUACGAUCCUGGUGGUUCCACAUAGGUCGUAAGUGCUGGGUGCCCUCUGGCGUGUUAUUAACUUCUCUGAGUCUGCCUCCUCGUUUCGAAAAUCACAUCAGGUCAUAUUUAGUGUGUUUUGGGCUCUACACUCACCAAAACCCUUUAAAUCUAUUGCUUGCGUGUGACCCUUGAUUUCAGGGUUGUGAAUUUGAGCCCCGUGUGGGGUGUAGAGAUGACUUAAAAUCUUUUUUUUUUUUUUAAUUUUUUAAGUUUGUUUAUUGAUUUUUGAGAGGGGCAGAGACGGCGCGAGCAGGGGAGGGACAGAGAAGGAGAGAGAGAGGGAAUCCCAAGCAGGCUCCAUGCUGCCAGGCGCAGAACGAGAUGUGGGGCUCGAACUCACGACCUGAGCCAAAACCAAGAGUCUAGGAGGCUCAACGGACAGAGCCGCCCAGGUGCUCCCCAAAUAAAAUCUUUUACAAAUAAAAAUCAGAAUAAAUAAAUGUAUGGCUCAUCUGAUCUUCAUUAUAGCCUUCUAAGGUAGACCUAUUCUCUGUCCCACUUUACAGAUGAGGAAACAGAGGCCCAGAGAGGUGCCUUCAACUUUCCCCAGGUCACACAGCUGCCAAGAUGCAGUGCUCGAGGCAGGACUAGAAUUAGCAGUCUGGCUGUGGAACCCAUACCCACGCCUGCUAUCCUGCUUUUCUAGAACGUGGUCCCAGGACCCAUGCCAUGGGGCUGUUGUGAAUGACGUGCAGGGGGUCAUUUGGGCCAAGCACGUGGCACAGCGCACAUGUGGGCUGUUCAGCAGCAGGAGGUCAGAGUGUUUCCUGAGAUGGUUUCCAGAUGAAUAUGAGAGGCAGCGGACCCCAGGCGCCCCCGUGUGGAACUUUGCACUAUAUCCUGUUGCAUUAGGGUCACAAGACAUCUGGACGAUUUGAGGGGUUGACAGUGGGCCCUCCCUGGCUUGGGACACGUUCUUCAAACUUCUUGUCUGCUCACUUUCUUCGCCCCUGCGAUAGAGAUAGUGGUAUUUACUACUGUUUUGCUGAGAUACAGGGCAAUGCGAUGAUUUAUUGAGGCAUCUCGUCCUUGGGAAGGGCUCUGGAGACGUCUCCUGUUAUUACGAAGCCCUGUUCUACCGCGGUCCCGAGCCCCGGAUAAAGGAAGAGACUGCUUCUCUUAAAAAGAGAUAAUAAGCAACCAAAGAGCCACGGUUGCCAGUAACCUUUGCUUGCCAUACCAAGGGAAGAUCGUCACAUAAAUAAAUCCCCAACGGGAAGUAGGGUAGCCAUAGAAAGAAAGGAGCAUUGGUAAUGAUGUUCACUGAGCGCUUACUGUGUGCCUGGCUCUGAGCUCUGCAGUUCACUACCCUCCCCCCUCCCCCCUGCCCCGCCAGCCCUCUUUGCUUAGCCCACAGUCCCUAAUGCCACCUGCCACACUACCCUAAAUCCUUUACUGACGUAGCUAUUGCUCUGUCCCCCAGGAGAGCAGGAAUCUUGCUGUCUUAUCACUGCUGUAGGACCACAAUAACUGUUUGUGGGAGGACAUUUUCUCAUCCCGUCCUCACGACGGUCCCAGGAGCCAAGUACUGGGAUUGUUCCCAUUCCACAGAUGAGGAAACAGACACAGAGAGGUGAAGCCACUUGCUCGCGGUCACUCAGCUUGUUAGUGACAGAGCAGAGGUUUGAGCCCAGGGCCCCAGAGCCCAAGUUCUAAACCGUGAUCUCUGAGGCUCUCCCAUUUGUUAAAUGCGGGAAAAGAGAACGCGGUUUCUGGAGCCCUGAUGGCAACGAAUAGCAGCUCUUAUCAUGCUCUCUGUGUGACUUUGAACCCGAGUGGUUUCUUUUGCAAAAUCAGAUCACCUGAGUACCUGCCGCACAGAGAUGUUGGGGGGGGGGGGGUUUAAGAGUUCCGCCUUGGAAAAGGGGCCGGGCGGGUCGUGAGCGCUGGUUAAGCGUUGGGUAUUUCCAUGCACUUCCCCAGCACUUUUGCAUUCCUCAUUCAUUCCAUAGCCACAAAAGUUCUAGAAGGCCUGCUGAGCUCCAGCCCCUGCGGUGUAUGGAGGGCCAUUUUGCCUGGGAGUGACCUCCUCCAGGGAGCCCUCCCUGACUCCUCCAAGCUGAGCAUCCUACUCAGGGCUCUUGUGCCCGCCUUGUUUUUAUGUCAUUAGCACUCCCUUCGUUCCUGACUGACUUCCCUGAGGGCGGGACCCAGAUCUCUCUGGUCCCCACCGGGUCUUGAGCACCCAGCUCGGGAUUCAGCGCACACUGGGUGCUCUGUCGGUGUCUAAGAAUCGUGCCUAGAGGAGGAUUAAUGGAUUGAAUGGGUGCCUUUCCUCCCCGCAGAAUGACUUUCUUACUGGUGUGCUCCCUGCCAGCCCCCUCAGCUGGCUCUUCCUCUUCGGUGCCAUUCAGCUCGCCUGGUUCCUCCAGCUGGAUCCUUCCCUGGGACUGAUGGAGAAGAUCAAAGAGUUGCUGCCAGACUGGUGAGCUCCCCCGCUUGAGCCCAGCAACCUCCCUAAUUCCUCCCCCUCCACCCAGUAAGCUUCUCUAUCAGUGUGAUGCGCCUGCUAAAGAGAAGUAAUCUCUGAGACUUACUUUGGGUCAGAUUAAUAAAGGUACAGCGUGAGUAAAAAGGAGGUGAUUUCCCCGCUUCUCUCUGCCUAUUUUCCAUCCGGUCUGUUUCUUGCUAAGGGGGAUGCUGACAAACUGGAAAAUAUCCAGACAUGGUUAUGUAAGCACCGAGAAAAGCAGGAGCCCUACUGGCCUUCAGUUGUGUAGCCUUAGGCAAGAGGCUUAACCAUUCUCGGUGUUAGAGUCUUCCUCUGUAAAAUAUAGGUAAUAGGGACAUCUGGGUGGCUCAGUCAGUUAAACGUCUAACUUGGGCUCAGGUCAUUAUCUUGUGGUUCCUGAGUUCGAGCCCCGUGUUGGGCUCUGUGCUGACAGCUUAGAGCCUGGAACCUGCUUCAGAUCUGUGUCUCCCUCUCUCUUUGCCCCUCCGCGGCUCACACUCUGUUUCUCUCUCAAAAAUAAAUAUAUGUUAAAAAAAAUUAAAUAUAGGUAAUAAGGGCACCUGGGUGGCUCAGUCAGUGGAGCACGCGAUUCUUGAUCUCGGGUUGUGAGUUUGAGCCCCACGCUGGGUGUAGCGAUUACUUAAAAAUAAAAUCUUUUUAUUUAUUUAUUUAUUUAUUUUUUUUUUUUUAAAUUUUUUUUUUCAACGUUUAUUUAUUUUUGGGACAGAGAGAGACAGAGCAUGAAUGGGGGAGGGGCAGAGAGAGAGGGAGACACAGAAUCGGAAACAGGCUCCAGGCUCUGAGCCAUCAGCCCAGAGCCCGACGCGGGGCUCGAACUCACGGACCGCGAGAUCGUGACCUGGCUGAAGUCGGACGCUUAACCGACUGCGCCACCCAGGCGCCCCUAAAAAANAAAAAAAAAAAAAAAAAAAGCAUGCCUGUGGAAUAUUCCGUACAGUGCCGGAAGGUUACUAAAUGGGAGUGGUUGUGUUAUUAUAAUUGCCAUUUGGGGGGACGGUUUGGGAGCCGGGUGUGGGGAAAGUGACAGGUUCUAAUUCUUGGCUUCGUCCUCCUGGGGAAGAAGGUUCAGAUUUUGUACAGACAGUCCCAAAGGGCAGACCCAGGAUCAGAGGUAGAAAUUUCCAGGAAGGCUAGACGUACCCAGUCUACAGAGGGGAAGCAACUCGCUCCUAGUCCUCCAGGUGGGAUUUGCUCAUAUGUCUAUCUGAUUGCCACUUUGCAAACACGUUGAUUUACUGUGGUUUUAGAUCAGCAGUUUCUUUUUUUAAAUUUUUUAAAAUUUUUUAACGUUUUAUUUUUAUUUAUUUUGAGAGAGAGCGAGCAAGCGAGCAUGAGCAGGGGAGGGGCAGGGAAAGGGAGAGAGAGAAUCCCAAGCAGAUUCCACACUGUCAGCGCAGAGCCUGAUGAGGGGCUUGAGCCCACAAACCAUAAGAUUAUGACCUGAGCUGAAAUCAGGAGUCAGACGCUUAACUGACGGAGCCACCCAGAUACCCCUUAGGAAACUCGAUUUCUACGACUGACUCCAAUUCUAGAAGAUAGGCCCCCAGUCAAAAGAUCAGGGUCAGAGACUAUCAGGAAGAGCAGGGGCUGGUGGGGCUGGAGGGAAGGGGCGUUCUGAGGCCAGGAGACCCAGGCCCCGUGUCUCUUUCACUCCCCCAGGGGUGGACAGCACCACAGGCUUCGGGGAGUCCUGGCAGCGGCGCUGUUUGCUUCGUGCCUAUGGGGAGCCCUGAUCUUCACGCUUCACGUGGCCCUGAGGCUGCUUCUGUCCUACCAUGGCUGGCUCCUUGAACCCCACGGAGCCAUGUCCUCCCCCACCAAGACCUGGCUGGUAUGUGAAGGGCAGAGCCCUGCUCAGGCCCUCCGGGGACCCACUUCUCUAUGUCCCUCUCUCUGGGACCCUGUCCAUCUCUCUCUGGUCUCUACGCCUCCCCCUGGGUCUGUCCCCCCAUUCUCUGGGUGCCAACCCCAUUCUCUCUGUAGGUUGCCAUGUACAACCCCCGAUCCCGGUCCCGGAUCCCAGGGAGGGGUGCAGUGACCCACUAAUUCCCCGCUUCCCUCCAGGCCCUGGUCCGCAUCUUCUCCGGUCGCAAUCCGAUGCUGUUCAGUUACCAGCGCUCCCUGCCACGCCAGCCCGUGCCCUCCGUGCAGGACACCGUGCG